AUACGGAGGGUGCGAGCGUUAAUCGGAAUUACUGGGCGUAAAGCGCGCGUAGGUGGAUGUAUAAGUCAGAUGUGAAAGCCCUGGGCUCAACCUAGGAACUGCAUUUGAAACUGUACGUCUAGAGUAUGAUAGAGGUGAGUGGAAUUUCAGGUGUAGCGGUGAAAUGCGUAGAGAUCUGAAGGAACAUCAGUGGCGAAGGCGACUCACUGGGCCAUUACUGACACUGAGGUGCGAAAGCGUGGGUAGCAAACAGGAUUAGAAACCCUUGUAGUCC
rnacentral:rRNA from 1 species